rnacentral:rRNA from 1 species
AGUGAACGCUGGCGGUAGGCCUAACACAUGCAAAUCGAACGGCAGCACAGUAAGAGCUUGCUCUUACGGGUGGCGAGUGGCGGACGGGUGAGGAAUACAUCGGAAUCUACUUUUUCGUGGGGGAUAACGUAGGGAAACUUACGCUAAUACCGCGUACGACCUACGGGUGAAAGCAGGGGAUCUUCGGACCUUGCGCGAUUGAAUGAGCCGAUGUCGGAUUAGCUAGUUGGCGGGGUAAAGGCCCACCAAGGCGACGAUCCGUAGCUGGUCUGAGAGGAUGAUCAGCCACACUGGAACUGAGACACGGUCCAGACUCCUACGGGAGGCAGCAGUGGGGAAUAUUGGACAAUGGGCGCAAGCCUGAUCCAGCCAUACCGCGUGGGUGAAGAAGGCCUUCGGGUUGUAAAGCCCUUUUGUUGGGAAAGAAAAGCAGCAGGUUAAUACCCCGCUGUUCUGACGGUACCCAAAGAAUAAGCACCGGCUAACUUCGUG